CCCAAGUGUGCCCUCACUGCCUGCCUCUGAGGGAGUCAAAUACCAUUUCUAUUUUGCGUAGACCGCUUGAGCUUUCUGCCCUUGCAUGAGAACUGGAUGCUCCUUGAAGCAACAGGCCCAGUGGAAUCUGAGUUCCAAAGUGAUUUAAUGUCUGCCAGCCACUGUUUUUAAACUGCUUGAACAAACUCUGCUGUAACGAGAAGUUUUACAUCAUUUCUUUUGCCCAUUAAAUUUACAUUUCCAUUAUACAUCUCUACAAUAAAAAUAUGGCAGCUGCCACAAGAAAGCCCACACAUCAGACACAAUCUCCGUUUGAGCCCCAAAUAGAAGAGAAAC